rnacentral:rRNA from 1 species
CUCAGGAUGAACGCUAGCUACAGGCUUAACACAUGCAAGUCGAGGGGCAGCAUGGACCCAGUUUUGCUGGGUUUGAUGGCGACCGGCGCACGGGUGAGUAACGCGUAUCCAACCUGCCCUUUACUCCGGGAUAGUCUCCUGAAAGGGAGUUUAAUACCGGAUGUGUUUGUCUUUCCGCAUGGGAGCGACAAAUAAAGAUUGAUUGGUAAAGGAUGGGGAUGCGUCCCAUUAGCUUGUUGGCGGGGUAACGGCCCACCAAGGCGACGAUCGGUAGCCGGACUGAGAGGUUGAACGGCCACAUUGGGACUGAGACACGGCCCAGACUCCUACGGGAGGCAGCAGUGGGGAAUAUUGCACAAUGGGGGAAACCCUGAUGCAGCGACGCCGCGUGGAGGAAGAAGGUCUUCGGAUUGUAAACUCCUGUUGUUGAGGAAGAUAAUGACGGUACUCAACAAGGAAGUGACGGCUAACUACGUGCCAGCAGCCGCGGUAAAACGUAGGUCACAAGCGUUGUCCGGAAUUACUGGGUGUAAAGGGAGCGCAGGCGGGAAGACAAGUUGGAAGUGAAAUCCAUGGGCUCAACCCAUGAACUGCUUUCAAAACUGUUUUUCUUGAGUAGUGCAGAGGUAGGCGGAAUUCCCGGUGUAGCGGUGGAAUGCGUAGAUAUCGGGAGGAACACCAGUGGCGAAGGCGGCCUACUGGGCACCAACUGACGCUGAGGCUCGAAAGUGUGGGUAGCAAACAGGAUUAGAUACCCUGGUAGUCCACACUGUAAACGAUGAUUACUAGGUGUUGGAGGAUUGACCCCUUCAGUGCCGCAGUUAACACAAUAAGUAAUCCACCUGGGGAGUACGACCGCAAGGUUGAAACUCAAAGGAAUUGACGGGGGCCCGCACAAGCGGUGGAGCAUGU